CGUGAAACAGUUUAUUUUAAUGAGAUGCCUCUUGAAAUCACCUGAGGAGAUACAUCUACACCGACUGAUACACCUAAACCAGAUGUUCAGUAUGUCACACAUG